rnacentral:rRNA from 1 species
GAUGAACGCUAGCGGGAGGCUUAAUACAUGCAAGUUGAGCGGUAACCGGCUUAUAGCAAUAUAAGUUGGCUAGAGCGGCGCACGGGUGAGUAACGCGUACAUAACCUACCCUAUACAGGGGGAUAGCCUUGGGAAACUGAGAUUAAUACCCCAUAGCAUUGCGGGAUCGCCUGAUUCUGCAAUUAAAGUUGCGGCGGUAUAGGAUGGGUGUGCGUCUGAUAGCUAGUUGGUAGGGUAACGGCCUACCAAGGCGAUGAUUAGUAGGGGGCGUGAGAGCGUGGACCCCCAAACGGGUACUGAGACACGGACCCGACUCCUACGGGAGGCAGCAGUAAGGAAUAUUGGUCAAUGGAGGAAACUCUGAACCAGCCAUCCCGCGUGAAGGAUGAAGGGGCUCUGCCUUGUAAACUUCUUUUGUCUGGGGCGAAAAAGCUCGAUUUAUCGAGAACUGACGGUACCAGAAGAAUAAGCACCGGCUAACUCCGUGCCAGCCGCCGCAGUAAAAC